AUUGAACGCUGGCGGAAUGCUUUACACAUGCAAGUCGAACGGCAGCACGGACUUCGGUCUGGUGGCGAGUGGCGAACGGGUGAGUAAUGUAUCGGAACGUGCCCAGUCGUGGGGGAUAACGUAGUGGAAAUUACGCUAAUACCGCAUACGAUCUAUGGAUGAAAGCGGGGGAUCGCAAGACCUCGCGCGAUUGGAGCGGCCGAUAUCAGAUUAGGUAGUUGGUGGGGUAAAGGACCACCAAGCCAACGAUCUGUAGCUGGUCUGAGAGGACGACCAGCCACACUGGAACUGAGACACGGUCCAGACUCCUACGGGAGGCAGCAGUGGGGAAUUUUGGACAAUGGGCGAAAGCCUGAUCCAGCCAUUCCGCGUGCAGGAUGAAGGCCCUCGGGUUGUAAACUGCUUUUGUACAGAACGAAAAGGUUUCUACUAAUACUAGGAGCUCAUGACGGUACUGUAAGAAUAAGCACCGGCUAACUACGUGCCAGCCGCCGCGGUAA
rnacentral:rRNA from 1 species